rnacentral:rRNA from 1 species
CACGUAGGGUGCGAGCGUUGUCCGGAAUUAUUGGGCGUAAAGAGCUCGUAGGCGGUGUGUCGCGUCGGCCGUGAAAACCUGCAGCUUAACUGUGGGCUUGCGGUCGAUACGGGCAUCACUGGAGUUCGGCAGGGGAGACUGGAAUUCCUGGUGGAGCGGUGAAAUGCGCAGAUAUCAGGAGGAACACCGGUGGCGAAGGCGGGUCUCUGGGCCGAUACUGACGCUGAGGAGCGAAAGCGUGGGGAGCGAACAGG